rnacentral:rRNA from 1 species
GAUGAACGCUGGCGGCGUGCCUAAUACAUGCAAGUCGAGCGAACGGACGAGAAGCUUGCUUCUCUGAUGUUAGCGGCGGACGGGUGAGUAACACGUGGAUAACCUACCUAUAAGACUGGGAUAACUUCGGGAAACCGGAGCUAAUACCGGAUGAUAUUUUGAACCGCAUGGUUCAAAAGUGAAAGACGGUCUUGCUGUCACUUAUAGAUGGAUCCGCGCUGCAUUAGCUAGUUGGUAAGGUAACGGCUUACCAAGGCAACGAUGCAUAGCCGACCUGAGAGGGUGAUCGGCCACACUGGAACUGGGACACGGUCCAGACUCCUACGGGAGGCAGCAGUAGGGAAUCUUCCGCAAUGGGCGAAAGCCUGACGGAGCAACGCCGCGUGAGUGAUGAAGGUCUUCGGAUCGUAAAACUCUGUUAUUAGGGAAGAACAUAUGUGUAAGUAACUGUGGACAUCUUGACGGUACCUAAUCAGAAAGCCACGGCUAACUACGUG